rnacentral:rRNA from 1 species
UACGUAGGGCGCAAGCGUUAUCCGGAAUUAUUGGGCGUAAAGAGCUCGUAGGCGGCUUGUCACGUCGGAUGUGAAAGCCCGGGGCUUAACCCCGGGUCUGCAUUCGAUACGGGCAGGCUAGAGUGUGGUAGGGGAGAUCGGAAUUCCUGGUGUAGCGGUGAAAUGCGCAGAUAUCAGGAGGAACACCGGUGGCGAAGGCGGAUCUCUGGGCCAUUACUGACGCUGAGGAGCGAAAGCGUGGGGAGCGAACAGG